CACCGAGCAGAGACGCUUGUCUGCUCGCAUUUGCGUGCAGGUUUCGCUGCCUGGUGCAGAGGGCUGGAAUCAAACGCCCGCCGUUUUGUUUUCGCGAUUCCAGCCGCACCCCUAUUGGCUCGAACCAGCGGCCAAUGGCAGCCUGUGUUGGUCGUGGGGCGCGCCUCGCGGACACGCUUUUACAUUGUCGUUCCCAAACCAAUGGGCGAGCGCGUUCCCCGCCGUCCCUCCUUCCAGUGCCGUUGAGUAGCGCCAGCGGAGACCGGGGGAGAGUUUCUGUGUGGAUGUACGAGCCUCGAUUCACUUGAAGCCUGAACUUCUACGACGCGUCUGCCAUACUUUCAACUGCACACUACAAUCUGCAGUAUAGGAUGUAAUCACUUCCACAUGCUGGGUCGAUUUUAACCCGGGUUUUUUUGGCUUGAGAUUUUUUUGCAGAAUUGUUAAAUUAGGGUUAUGUAUGUUAAGCAAGGGGCAAAGCUUUCAAUCAUGACGGGGACUCGCGUUUUCGUCGGCAAGGGGAGAAGAACUGCGCUGAACGCAAGAGGAAGCCGAAGUUCAUAAAAAAGGAUUAUUGCAUCUGGAUGCUUAAAACUCCCUGUGCUUCCGGAUUCUGCUUUGGAUUAAGGAUUUAUCGCUUUUUGCCAGAAUGGAAAGCCGGGAUUUUGCCCCACCACACCACCUUUUGACAGAGCGGAGCGCGCUGGUUCACAGCGCCGCUUCCCGGAUCGCUCCGGGCGGCCACGGCUCCGUGCAGCACCCCGCUCACUUCCAGCCAGGGAAGUUCUACUCCUCUCACCUCUCCAUGGGCCCACACUCAGGUCCGUUUGGAAUUAAGCUUUGCUGUUUUACAAAUGAUCAUGUGUUCUAUCAACAGAUAAUGUUCGACAUUUACAAAAUGAUUUGUUUUGUGGGGUCCACAUUGCACAUUUAGGAGUAGGCUACUUAAAAAAAAAAAAAACUGAAGAAAAAAGUUGACUCGAGUUGAACUGGAAUUGAA